GGUCGCGUGGCCCAAUGGGUGUGUUUUCUCGACGCCGUUCAUCACUCCGACUCUGUACUAACAAUUUCUCCAGCAAGGCGUCUGACUACGAAUCAGGAGAUUGUGGGUUCGAUCCCCACCGUGACCU